GAUGAGCGCUGGCGGCGUGCCUAAUACAUGCAAGUCGAGCGAAUGGAUUGAGAGCUUGCUCUUAUGAAGUUAGCGGCGGACGGGUGAGUAACACGUGGGUAACCUGCCCAUAAGACUAGGAUAACUCCGGGAAACCGGGGCUACUACCGGAUAACAUUUUGAACCGCAUGGUUCGAAAUUGAAAGGCGGCUUCGGCUGUCACUUAUGGAUGGACCCGCGUCGCAUUAGCUAGUUGGUGAGGUAACGGCUCACCAAGGCAACGGUGCGUAGCCGACCUGAGAGGGUGAUCGGCCACACUGGGACUGAGACACGGCCCAGACUCCUACGGGAGGCAGCAGUAGGGAAUCUUCCGCAAUGGACGAAAGUCUGACGGAGCAACGCCGCGUGAGUGAUGAAGGCUUUCGGGUCGUAAAACUCUGUUGUUAGGGAAGAACAAGUGCUAGUUGAAUAAGCUGGCACCUUGACGGUACCUAACCAGAAAGCCACGGCUAACUACGUGCCAGCAGCCGCGGUAA
rnacentral:rRNA from 1 species